UCGAGGAUCUUUGGCAAUGAGCGCAAGCUUGACCAAGCGACGCCGCGUGUGCGAUGAAGGCCUUCGGGUUGUAAAGCACUGUCGAGGGGGACGAAGCCGAAAGGUUGACCGAUCCCUGGAGGAAGCACGGGCUAAGUUCGUGCCAGCAGCCGCGGUAAGACGAACCGUGCGAACGUUGUUCGGAAUCACUGGGCUUAAAGGGCGCGUAGGCGGCUUGUCAAGUCAGGGGUGAAAUCUUUCGGCUUAACCGGAAAAGUGCCCUUGAUACUGACAGGCUCGAGGGAGGUAGGGGCAUGUGGAACUUCUGGUGGAGCGGUGAAAUGCGUUGAUAUCAGAAGGAACGCCGGUGGCGAAAGCGACGUGCUGGACCUCUUCUGACGCUGAGGCGCGAAAGCUAGGGGAGCAAACGGGAUUAGAUACCCCCGUAGUCC
rnacentral:rRNA from 1 species